CAGUCGCCGCGGUAAUACGAAGGGUGCAAGCGUUAAUCGGAAUUACUGGGCGUAAAGCGUGCGUAGGCGGUGAGUUAAGUCUGCUGUGGAAUCCCCGGGCUCAACCUGGGAAUGGCAGUGGAUACUGGCUCGCUAGAGUGUGUCAGAGGAUGGUGGAAUUCUCGGUGUAGCGGUGAAAUGCGUAGAGAUCGGGAGGAACAUCAGUGGCGAAGGCGGCCAUCUGGGACAACACUGACGCUGAGGCACGAAAGCGUGGGGAGCAAACAGGAUUAGAUACCCCCGUAGUCCCUGUCUCUUAUAC
rnacentral:rRNA from 1 species